GAUCGAGUUUGAUCCUGGCUCAGAUUGAACGCUGGCGGCAUGCUUUACACAUGCAAGUCGAACGGUAACAGGUUAAGCUGACGAGUGGCGAACGGGUGAGUAAUGCAUCGGAACGUGCCCGAUCGUGGGGAUAACGCAGCGAAAGCUGCGCUAAUACCGCAUACGAUCUGAGGAUGAAAGCGGGGGACCGUAAGGCCUCGCGCGAUCGGAGCGGCCGAUGUCAGAUUAGGUAGUUGGUGGGUAAAGGCCCACCAAGCCUGCGAUCUGUAGCUGGUCUGAGAGGACGACCAGCCACACUGGGGACUGAGACACGGCCCAGACUCCUACGGGAGCAGCAGUGGGGAAUUUUGGACAAUGGGGCGAAAGCCUGAUCCCAGCCCAUACCGCGUGCGGAAGAAGGCCUUAGGGUUGUAAAGCUCUUUCAGUGGGGGAAAGAUAAUGACUGUACCCACAGAAGAAGCCCCGGCUAACUCCGUGCCAGCAGCCGCGGUAAUCUGAUGGCGCGAGGGAGCGAUAC
rnacentral:rRNA from 1 species